rnacentral:rRNA from 1 species
AGAGUUUGAUCAUGGCUCAGGAUGAACGCUGGCGGCGUGCCUAAUACAUGCAAGUCGAACGGGCGUAGCAAUACACUAGUGGCGGACGGGUGAGUAACACGUUGGUGACCUGCCCUAAAGAGGGGAAUACCACUUCGAAAGGAGUGACAAAACCGCAUAAGCUGAUGCUAGUUAGAGAGGCAUUAGUAAAAGAGCAAUCUACUUUAGGAGGGGCCUGCGGCCCAUCAGCUAGUUGGUGAGGUAAAAGCCCACCAAGGCGAAGACGGGUAGGGGACCUGAGAGGGUGAUCCCCCACAAUGGAACUGAAACACGGUCCAUACACCUGCGGGUGGCAGCAGUAGGGAAUAUUGCUUAAUGGGCGAAAGCCUGAAGCAGCAACGCCGCGUGAACGAAGAAGGCCUUCGGGUCGUAAGGUUCUUUUACGUGGGAUGAGGAAGGACAGUACCACGAGAAUAAGUCUCGGCUAACUACGUGCCAGCAGCCGCGGUAAAACGUAGGAGACGAGCGUUAUCCGGAUUUACUGGGCGUAAAGCGCGUGUAGGAGGCGCUACAAGUUGGAUGUGAAAGCUCCCGGCUUAACUGGGAGAGGUCGUUCAAGACUGUAGAGCUAGAGUGAGGCAGAGGUAGAUGGAACUCCGGGAGUAGUGGUGAAAUGCGUAGAUAUCCGGAAGAACACCAGAGGCGAAAGCGAUCUACUGGACCUAAACUGACACUGAGACGCGAAAGCCAGGGUAGCAAACGGGAUUAGAGACCCCGGUAGUCCUGGCCGUAAACGAUGUAGACUGAGCGUUGGUUGGAUAAACCGAUCAGUGCUGAAGCAAACGCGAUAAGUCUACCGCCUGGGGAGUACGGUCGCAAGAUUAAAACUCAAAGGAAUUGACGG